UGAGCAAACCGAGUGGUCGCGGGGGUACCGAUUUGAUCAUCGGUGCGCCUGAGGAAAGUCCGAGCUCCAUAGGGCAAGGUGCUGGGUAACGCCCAGUGGGGGUGACCCCAAGGAGAGUGCCACAGAAACAUACCGCCUGAUUCGGUCGACGUUGGCGUAGUGGCGCCGGAUCCGAGUCAUAGGCAAGGGUGAAAAGGUGAGGUAAGAGCUCACCAGCGGCGCGAGUAAUCCGCCGGCUAGGCAAACCCCACCUGGAGCAAGACCAAAUAGGGGAACCAUAGAGUGGCCCGCUCUGUUCCCGGGUUGGUCGCUUGAGGUGUCAGGCAACUGGCACCCUAGAUAGAUGAUCACUCACGACAGAACUCGGCUUACAGGUUUGCUCGCUCU
rnacentral:RNase_P_RNA from 1 species